AUUGAACGCUGGCGGCAUGCCUUACACAUGCAAGUCGAACGGUAACGGGCCUUCGGGUGCCGACGAGUGGCGAACGGGUGAGUAAUGUAUCGGAACGUACCUUUCAGUGGGGGAUAACGUAGCGAAAGUUACGCUAAUACCGCAUAUUCUGUGAGCAGGAAAGCAGGGGAUCGCAAGACCUUGCGCUGAUUGAGCGGCCGAUAUCAGAUUAGCUAGUUGGUGAGGUAAAGGCUCACCAAGGCGACGAUCUGUAGCGGGUCUGAGAGGAUGAUCCGCCACACUGGAACUGAGACACGGUCCAGACUCCUACGGGAGGCAGCAGUGGGGAAUUUUGGACAAUGGGGGCAACCCUGAUCCAGCCAUGCCGCGUGAGUGAAGAAGGCCUUCGGGUUGUAAAGCUCUUUCGGCCGGGAAAAAUACGCAUCAGUUAAUACCUGGUGUGGAUGAUGUACCGGAAUAAGAAGCACCGGCUAACUACGUGCCAGCAGCCGCGGUAAC
rnacentral:rRNA from 1 species